UGUGUUUCAAGAAUUAAUUGUUCUAUAUAUAUAAAGAAAAGAAAAAAACAGUUGCAAUAUUGUAUUUAGCAGAAAUACGUGAAUUAAUGCCUCCAGGUAGGCCUAUACAAGACUAUAGUCCUGGACAAUUUGAAAACCAUUUCAGUCAAAGAAGAAAAAACAGAUGAGAUGUGUGCUAAGCCAGACACCAUGAAGUGACUGUAAUGGCAGAGAUGAAGGCUGAGAGAGGGAGUUUUGUGAGCGACCUGCGCAUGCUGCUGGGAGCUUAAAAUGGCGCAGACGUGACUCUGGCGCCCAGGAGCUCGGAGCAGUCAGCACAGUCACAUCUUGGCAGGGAGGAGCCCCGUCUUCGACGCCAUGUUGUGUUUCUUGCAUCUCACUUCACAACAUAGCUGCGAACACGGGGCUUCUUGCUGCCAUGUCGCAGAUUGAGCAUGCAGCCACUUAGCAGAGGUAACUGACGUAAGAGAAGCUCCCUUACAGCAGUUGUGAAACAAUCCCUAACCAUACCGUAGCUUGCAUUAUAGUCCAGCAACACAGUGGACUGAACUGUCCAAAAUAGCAGCAAAUGGGUUACAUUUGCACACUCACAUCUUGGCAGGGAGGAACCCCGUCUUCGGCGCCAUGUUGUGUUUCUUGCAUUUCACUUCACAACAUAGCUGCGAAGACGGGGCUUCUUGCUGCCAUGUCGCAGAUUGAGAUGCAAGAAGCAUGCAGCAGAGGUAACUGACAUAAGAGAAGCUCCCUUACAGCAGUUGUGAAACAAUCCCUAACCAUACCUUGACCUGCAUUAUAGUCCAGCAACACUGUGGACUGAACUGUCCAAAAUAACAGCAAGUGUGUUACAUUGGAAUAUGGAGUAUCUUGCGUGGGUUAUUUUGCCAUCUCUUGACCCUAAAUAUUUAUAAAAGAACCAAUUCGCGAUAGUAAAAAAAACUACACAUCUUUCAUUAAUUGCAGCUAAAGGAUAAUUUGAAACCUAAUACAAAAA